UGAAUACGAGGCACUAAGGUGCUGAAGUAGUGUAUGUCAUACUUCCAAGAAAAGCUUGCACUAUCGUAAGAUAAAAAUGCCUGUACCAUAACCGACACAGGUGGGUAGGUAGAGUAUACUAAGGGGCGCGAGAUAACUCUCUCUAAGGAACUCGGCAAAAUAACUCCGUAACUUCGGGAGAAGGAGUGCCUUAUUCUAUAAGGUUGCAAUAACAAGAUCCAAGCAACUGUUUAUCAAAAACACAGGUCUCCGCUAAGUCGUAAGACGAUGUAUGGGGGCUGACGCCUGCCCAGUGCCAGUAGGUUAAAGAAGUCGGUUAGCAAUUGCGAAGCUGGUAACUGAAGCCCUGGUGAACGGCGGCCGUAACCAUAACGGUCCUAAGGUAGCGAAAUUCCUUGUCGGGUAAGUUCCGACCCGCACGAAAGGCGUAAUGAUUUGGAUACUGUCUCGGAGAGGGACUCGGUGAAAUAGACUUGCCUGUGAAGAUGCGGACUACCUGCACCAGGACAGAAAGACCCUAUGAAGCUUUACUGUAACUUGAAAUUGAAAUUGGACUAUAUUCGCGCAGUAUAGGUGGGAGGCGUUGAUUAUAAUCUUGUGGGAUUAUUGGAGCCAUUAGUGAGAUACCACUCUUGUAAUGUUAGAUUUCUAACUUUGAAUCGUGAUCUGGUCAAAGAACAGUUUCAGGCGGGCAGUUUGACUGGGGCGGUCGCCUCCUAAAUGGUAACGGAGGCGUACAAAGGUUUCCUCUGAACGGGUAGAAAUCGUAUCUAGAGUGUAAAGGCAUAAGGAAGCCUGACUGUGAGACCUACAAGUCGAGCAGGGACGAAAGUCGGUCUUAGUGAUCUGACGGUACUGAGUGGAAAGGCCGUCACUCAACGGAUAAAAGUUACUCUAGGAUAACAGGCUGAUCUCCCCCAAGAGUUCACAUCGACGGGGAGGUUUGGCACCUCGAUGUCGGCUCAUCGCAUCCUGGGGCGGUAGUACGUCCCAAGGGUUGGGCUGUUCGCCCAUGAAAGCGGUACGCGAGCUGGGUUCAGAACGUCGUGAGACAGUUCGGUCCAUAUCCGGUGUAGGCGUUAGAAUAUUGAGAGGAGCCUUCUUUAGUACGAGAGGACCGAGAAGGACAUUCCUCUGGUGUACCAGUUAUCGUGCCAACGGUAAACGCUGGGUAGCUAUGUAUGGAGUGGAUAACCGCUGAAAGCAUCUAAGUGGGAAGCCCACCUCAAGAUAAGUAUUC
rnacentral:rRNA from 1 species